rnacentral:rRNA from 1 species
ACGCGAGGAACCUUACCAGGUCUUGACAUCCCAUUGACCGCUAUGGAGACAUAGCUUUCCCUUCGGGGACAGUGGUGACAGGUGGUGCAUGGUUGUCGUCAGCUCGUGUCGUGAGAUGUUGGGUUAAGUCCCGCAACGAGCGCAACCCUUGUUCUUAGUUGCCAUCAUUUAGUUGGGCACUCUAAGGAGACUGCCGGUGACAAACCGGAGGAAGGUGGGGAUGACGUCAAAUCAUCAUGCCCCUUAUGACCUGGGCUACACACGUGCUACAAUGGAUGGUACAAAGGGCAGCAAAACCGCGAGGUCGAGCAAAUCCCAUAAAACCAUUCUCAGUUCGGAUUGUAGGCUGCAACUCGCCUACAUGAAGCUGGAAUCGCUAGUAAUCGCGGAUCAGCAUGCCGCGGUGAAUACGUUCCCGGGCCUUGCACUCACCGCCCGU